rnacentral:rRNA from 1 species
GAUGAACGCUAGCGACAGGCUUAACACAUGCAAGUCGAGGGGCAGCACAGGUAGCAAUACCGGGUGGCGACCGGCGCACGGGUGAGUAACGCGUAUGCAACUUACCUAUCAGAGGGGGAUAACCCGGCGAAAGUCGGACUAAUACCGCAUGAAGCAGGGGCCCCGCAUGGGGAUAUUUGUUAAAGAUUCAUCGCUGAUAGAUAGGCAUGCGUUCCAUUAGGCAGUUGGCGGGGUAACGGCCCACCAAACCGACGAUGGAUAGGGGUUCUGAGAGGAAGGUCCCCCACAUUGGUACUGAGACACGGACCAAACUCCUACGGGAGGCAGCAGUGAGGAAUAUUGGUCAAUGGCCGAGAGGCUGAACCAGCCAAGUCGCGUGAGGGAUGAAGGUUCUAUGGAUCGUAAACCUCUUUUAUAAGGGAAUAAAGUGCGGGACGUGUCCCGUUUUGUAUGUACCUUAUGAAUAAGGAUCGGCUAACUCCGUGCCAGCAGCCGCGGUAAUACGGAGGAUCCGAGCGUUAUCCGGAUUUAUUGGGUUUAAAGGGUGCGUAGGCGGCCUUUUAAGUCAGCGGUGAAAGUCUGUGGCUCAACCAUAGAAUUGCCGUUGAAACUGGGGGGCUUGAGUAUGUUUGAGGCAGGCGGAAUGCGUGGUGUAGCGGUGAAAUGCAUAGAUAUCACGCAGAACCCCGAUUGCGAAGGCAGCCUGCCAAGCCAUUACUGACGCUGAUGCACGAAAGCGUGGGGAUCAAACAGGAUUAGAUACCCUGGUAGUCCACGCAGUAAACGAUGAUCACUAGCUGUUUGCGAUACACUGUAAGCGGCACAGCGAAAGCGUUAAGUGAUCCACCUAGGGAGUACGCCGGCAACGGUGAAACUCAAAGGAAUUGACGGGGGCCCGCACAAGCGGAGGAACAUGUGGUUUAAUUCGAUGAUACGCGAGGAACCUUACCCGGGUUUGAACGCAUUCGGACCGAGGUGGAAACACCUUUUCUAGCAAUAGCCGUUUGCGAGGUGCUGCAUGGUUGUCGUCAGCUCGUGCCGUGAGGUGUCGGCUUAAGUGCCAUAACGAGCGCAACCCUUGCCACUAGUUACUAACAGGUAAAGCUGAGGACUCUGGUGGGACUGCCAGCGUAAGCUGCGAGGAAGGCGGGGAUGACGUCAAAUCAGCACGGCCCUUACAUCCGGGGCGACACACGUGUUACAAUGGCGUGGACAAAGGGAAGCCACCUGGCGACAGGGAGCGAAUCCCCAAACCACGUCUCAGUUCGGAUCGGAGUCUGCAACCCGACUCCGUGAAGCUGGAUUCGCUAGUAAUCGCGCAUCAGCCAUGGCGCGGUGAAUACGUUCCCGGGCCUUGUACACACCGCCCGUCAAGCCAUGGGAGCCGGGGGUACCUGAAGUCCGUAACCGCGAGGAUCGGCCUAGGGUAAAACUGG